rnacentral:rRNA from 1 species
UUGCUCUCGGGUGACGAGCGGCGGACGGGUGAGUAAUGUCUGGGAAACUGCCUGAUGGAGGGGGAUAACUACUGGAAACGGUAGCUAAUACCGCAUAAGUCGCAAGACCAAAGUGGGGGACCUUCGGGCCUCAUGCCAUCAGAUGUGCCCAGAUGGGAUUAGCUAGUAGGUGGGGUAACGGCUCACCUAGGCGACGAUCCCUAGCUGGUCUGAGAGGAUGACCAGCCACACUGGAACUGAGACACGGUCCAGACUCCUACGGGAGGCAGCAGUGGGGAAUAUUGCACAAUGGGCGCAAGCCUGAUGCAGCCAUGCCGCGUGUGUGAAGAAGGCCUUCGGGUUGUAAAGCACUUUCAGCGGGGAGGAAGGCGUAAGGUUAAUAACCUUGCGAUUGACGUUACCCGCAGAAGAAGCACCGGCUAACUCCGUGCCAGCAGCCGCGGUAAUACGGAGGGUGCAAGCGUUAAUCGGAAUUACUGGGCGUAAAGCGCACGCAGGCGGUCUGUCAAGUCGGAUGUGAAAUCCCCGGGCUCAACCUGGGAACUGCAUUCGAAACUGGCAGGCUAGAGUCUUGUAGGGGGGGUGAAUUCCAGGUGUGCGGUGAAAUGCGUGAGAUCUGGAGGAAUCCGGUGGCGAAGGCGGCCCCCUGGACAAGACUGACGCUCGGUGCGAAAGCGUGGGGAGCAACAGGAUUGAUCCCUGGUGUCCACGCGAACGAUUCGAUGGAGGUUGUGCCCUUGAGGCGUGGCUUCCGGAGCGUAACGCGUUAAAUCGA